rnacentral:misc_RNA from 1 species
AACCAUAUACUACAAUGUGGCUAAUUUCAACAUUGUUUGUCAAAUGGCAUUUGUCUUCUAGACAAUUCCCAUUUCAGUUCAAGAACAUAUACAUGCAACGUGAUGUUAUGAAAUUGUAACAUUCCUGAAUGAUAUGAACAUGUUGCCACUAUUUGAGUGUACUCAGCGAAUAUUGAGAUUGACUUAGAUAGUGACUUGUAUGGCGACGAUGUUCUUUUAUCAUUUGUAUAA